GACGAACGCUGGCGGCGUGCUUAACACAUGCAAGUCGAGCGGUAAGGCCCUUUCGGGGGUACGACGAGCGGCGAACGGGUGAGUAACACGUGGGUGACCUGCCCUCAGCUCUGGGAUAAGCCUGGGAAACCGGGUCUAAUACUGGAUAUGACUCCAUGACGCAUGUUGUGGGGUGGAAAGCCUUGUGCGGCUGAGGAUGGGCCCGCGGCCUAUCAGCUUGUUGGUGGGGUGANGGCCUACCAAGGCGACGACGGGUAGCCGGCCUGAGAGGGCGACCGGCACACU
rnacentral:rRNA from 1 species